rnacentral:rRNA from 1 species
AGCGAACGCUGGCGGCAGGCCUAACACAUGCAAGUCGAGCGCCCGUAGCAAUACGGGAGCGGCAGACGGGUGAGUAACGCGUGGGAACAUACCCUUCGGUUCGGAAUAACUCAGGGAAACUUGAGCUAAUACCGGAUACGUCCGUGAGGAGAAAGAUUUAUCGCCGAAGGAUUGCCCGCGUAAGAUUAGCUAGUUGGUGAGGUAACGGCUCACCAAGGCUAUGAUCUUUAGCUGCUUGAGAGGAAGAUCAGCCACACUGGGACUGAGACACGGCCCACGACUCCUACGGGAGGGCAGCAGUGGGGAAUCUUUGCGGCAAUGGGCGGAAAGCCUGACGCAGCGACGCCGCGUGAGGGAUGACGGCCUC